GAAAGUUGACUGAGAUUUUUUGCUCAUUUUUUUAUUGUUUUUGUGGAAGGAUGAGCCCCUGGAGCUACCAACUCUAUCACUUUUACUGACAUCACUCCCUACCUGCCCCCACCCCCUUAAAGUUUUGAAAAUGGCAACUUGUAUAUCCACAUCAGAUGCUUGGUUUCUUUUGAAGAAUUGAAAGUAUGUUACUACUGAGCCCAUAGUUCCACAGAUCAACAAUUGCCUGGUAAGAAGAGGAGAUGUCUCCGGUGGGACUUUUGCUCUCGUGGGACUACUUUUCUAGUAGUGCACUCCCAACUCUACAUCAGUGUCUCCUUCCAUGAGGACAUGAACUGAUAAAGGAGUUCUGUUGUCAAGUCCUGCGGGAGCUGCCUAAUUGCUGCUUUAUAUUUCCUACGGAACAGACAUCAAUUCCAUACUAGUUUUGUGGCUGUUAGUGGUUCACCUGCAUUGAUUUGUACUUUGUGGUUUGUAAGCAUACCUUGUUGUCCCAAUUU